UGUAAACUAUCAAAUACAUUCGAUACACAUA
rnacentral:piRNA from 1 species